rnacentral:rRNA from 1 species
GACGUAGGUGGCGAACGUUAUCCGGUGUUAUUGGGCGUAAAGGAUGCGUAGACGGUAGGGUAAGUUAUCAGUGGGAAAUCAGGGCUCAACCUUGUGGAAGCUGGUAAUACUACCCAACUUGAGGAUAGGAGAGGUUAACGGAACUCCCUGUGGAGCGGUAAAAUGUGUAGAUAUAGGGAAGAACACCAAAAAAGGCGAAGGCAGUUAACUAUUCUACUCCUGACGUUGAGGCAUGAAAGCGUGGGGAGCAAAACGG